rnacentral:lncRNA from 1 species
UGGCAGUUGCUAUUUGUCCGGCUAGCCGGACGAAUAGUACCAGGACUAUUUGUCCGGUCAAAACAAUGCGCAUGUCACUAUAAUAUUUAUGUGUGCGUGUUUUAUUAUCUUCAGCAGCACCAGGGGGUAGCACAUGUUUGUAAUCUUUAGUGUUAGGGCCUAAUCUUGUUACUAGUAAUUGAAAUUGUUGUUUUCUUCAUACUAGUAUAUAAUCCAAUGUGGAUAACGAAUAAUCAGAAAAAAAUCAUAUAUAUCCCUAUUUUUUUUUUAUAUAAGAAGAAAGAAGGAACUACAUGUAAAACAAACUUGGGUAGUGUUUGACUCGUGAAUUUUAAGUUAACGUAUAGGAUUUUGUCUAGCUGAAAAAGGUACAAAAUUAGUAUGUCUGUAGCUGUCAAAAAGAAUUAUAGACCCCUUGACAUAAAGUUAUCCAUAUUUUGAAUGAGAGGUGAGAGAUUUUUCUAUAAUGCCCCCCCCCCAAAAAAAAAAAAUAAAAUAAAAAGAAGUAAAAAACACUGUUUUUUUUAUUCUAUUUACGUGAGUAGGUCGGGGUGACAUAGUGUGCUCCUUUUCCCAAAUUUCUCUUUUCUUUUUUUUCUCCUGAUCCCAUCUAUGUUGUCCCGUGUAUUCAUUAUCCCACUUUUUUACCCUACUUUUUAUAAUCCUAUUUCCAUCAUCCCCACUUCAAGUUUGUAGCCCCCCCCCCCAAAAAAAACCAAAAAAAAACCACCCCCACCACCCACUUGUAAAGGCCUUUCUCAACUGCUCUUGCUUUGAACAUCUUUUCCACCAUUUACACAGCUGUAGCGAGUCGAAUAAUUUUGUAAAACUAGUUCUCCGAUCAAUUAUCUUUUAUUUCCCAUUUUCCUUGUGAUUUCAAUUUUUUGUUAGUUCCUUUUAUAAGAUUAUAUCAUUUUGGAAGUUCAUAAUAUCAUGUUCCAUUGUCAAAUUCCGCAAACUGCAAAAUUUAUCACAAAUAUUGAUAUCACCGUUUUCAGCCAUAUGAUCUUAAAAUUGAAAAUCAGUGAUCAGAUUACACGCG